AACGAACGCUGGCGGCAUGCCUAACACAUGCAAGUCGAACGAGACCUUCGGGUCUAGUGGCGCACGGGUGCGUAACGCGUGGGAACCUGCCCUUAGGUUCGGAAUAACUCCCCGAAAGGGGUGCGAAUACCGGAUAAUGUCUUCGGACCAAAGAUUUAUCGCCUUUGGAUGGGCCCGCGUUGGAUUAGCUAGUUGGUAGGGUAAAAGCCUACCAAGGCGACGAUCCAUAGCUGGUCUGAGAGGAUGAUCAGCCACACUGGGACUGAGACACGGCCCAGACUCCUACGGGAGGCAGCAGUGGGGAAUAUUGGAAAAUGGGCGAAAGCCUGAUCCAGCAAUGCCGCGUGAGUGAUGAAGGCCUUAGGGUUGUAAAGCUCUUUUACCCGGGAUGAUAAUGACAGUACCGGGAGAAUAAGCUCCGGCUAACUCCGUG
rnacentral:rRNA from 1 species